rnacentral:tRNA from 1 species
GGAGAUUUAGUUAAAAUAUAAUACUAGAUUGUCAGCCUAGAGUUACUUUAAAGAAGUAUUCUCCU